AUUUAAAUAGCUAAUAUAAAUAUAGUGUAAUAUUGAAGAUAUUAAGUAGAACAAUUAAUUGUUUUUUAAAUA
rnacentral:tRNA from 1 species